AUACGGAGGGUGCGAGCGUUAAUCGGAAUUACUGGGCGUAAAGGGUGCGUAGGCGGCUUGAUAAGUCGGAUGUGAAAGCCCCGGGCUUAACCUGGGAAUUGCAUUCGAUACUGUCAGGCUAGAGUAUGUCAGAGGUUGGCGGAAUUCCUAGUGUAGCGGUGAAAUGCGUAGAUAUCAGGAGGAACACCAGUGGCGAAGGCGGCUAACUGGGGCAAUACUGACGCUGAGGCACGAAAGCGUGGGGAGCAAACAGGAUUAGAAACCCGAGUAGUCC
rnacentral:rRNA from 1 species